rnacentral:lncRNA from 1 species
AGCCUUUUCAGGCGGUGCUUUGAUACUUACAACUAUGGAUGGGGAGGAUUUCACUCGUCCUGUGAAUUCAGAUGCAGUCAAGAAAUACUUCGCCUAAAAAAAAUAAAAACUGAAUAGCUCGCUAAGUUGAAAACCCGAAAGGGCGGCUUAGGCAAAAAUGAGCGUCUCGGUGGAUUGAAAACCCGAAAGGGCGAUCCAGGCAAAAGUUAGAGACACAAAAAAUAUAUAAUAAUGAUAUAUGUAUCCC